rnacentral:misc_RNA from 1 species
GAUGAAGAACGCAGCGAAAUGCGAUAAGUAAUGUGAAUUGCAGAAUUCAGUGAAUCAUCGAAUCUUUGAACGCACAUUGCGCCCCUUGGUAUUCCGAGGGGCAUGCCUGUUCGAGCGUCAUUAUAACCCUCAAGCUCAGCUUGGUGUUGGGGCCUGCUGCACUGGCAGCCCUUAAAAUCAGUGGCGGCGCCAUCUGGCUCUAAGCGUAGUAAUUCUUCUCGCUAUGGAGUCCUGGUGGAUGCUUGCCAUCAACCCCCAAUUUUUCUAUGGUUGACCUCGGAUCAGGUAGGGAUACCCGCUGAACUUAAGCAUAUCAAUAAGGCGGAGGA